UGGAAGCUUUAGCCUAAGUUCUGCCAGGAAGACUCAAUCACUUCGUCACUAAUUACCUUCAUCAUUAUCCAAUCACGUCUUUAUACUCCUGUAUAAAAGAUCGUACUUACACAUGUUUGAGUUCGCAGAUGCCAACGCGACAACAACCGCAGAUUCCGACGCGAUUGUACUUGCUCAAGCUGUUGUGUUUAUUCAUCUACUUGCUGUAAUUAAGUUCGUGCCCCGCAAACUAUCUAGAGUUUGACGUUCCUCUAAGAUGCACACGGGAUCGUUGGCUUAGCUCCGUGUCGCGGUGAUUAUCUGAAGUCGUUUGUGUUGGAUGAUUUACAAGCUUUUCUCGGCAGCGGAUGUGAACAUUGGCGGAGUUCCGUGUGCUUUCAGGCCAGGGUUGCCAGGUUCUCAAAACCGCCAGUUACUACUAUUAAAAAAAAAAAAAAAAAAAAAAAAAAAAUAGCCCAAUCGCGUUCAAAAGGGAUUUAUCGGUAGAAUUCACAUUCUAGGGGCUAUAUAUAACACUAUUGGGGUCACCUCAAACCCAGGACUGAAAAGGCAUCCCACAAAAAAAAAAAAAAAAUACGGUCUUGGCAACGCUGGUGCUUUCCGAGAUGUCGCGUCAGUGCUGCUUGGGUCUCAACACCUGAAAAGACUUUGGUCUCAAUCAACAAAUAUUCAUCUGUACGCUCACGUGAACCUGCACGAAUGAAGUCUCUCCGGACCAGCAGACAGAAUUAAGGCUGCCGGUCUCUUCGGCAUCUCGCCUCCAUCACUUCACAAGUCUACAGCAUUAUAAGUAUCAUUUCGUUCUAUGCACUUGCGGCGCCUGGGCAUUAAUUUAUUCUCUGCAAGGAUUUAUACUUACACGUUCAAAUAAAGCACUGGGCGUUUCGUGCUUGUUUAUCUAGCAGACUUGCACAGCAUAAUUAAGAUGUUGAUCAUAGUGCAUGCAAUUUUCUGAAUAACUUCUUCGUAAUGAGGCACUUUAAGGCUUAUCAUAAACGCUACAAUCUUUAUACUGAUAAAGCUUUUUCGCAUUUCUUAUUUAAAAAAAAAAAAAAAAAAAAAAAAAAGCUCUGUCUAGCACACUUGAGAUUCGCUGUUUUAAUCCUAUGCUUUAAUAUUUGUUUAUUCAGUCUUUCAUUUGCGUUAUUCCUGAAAAGUUCAUACUCUAAUGGGAUUCUAUGGUUGCAGAUGCAGGGAACCGCUGCUCUCACCUCAUCUUUACAUGGCUUACUUUGGGCUAGCGAAUUAUGAACACUGGAUCUACCAAGCUGAUGCGUAUGGACCCUUCUUUUGAGUCGUAGGUAAGAUUCGGCUCAAUGCUCAGUCAGCAGGCAUAUAUUACUCCACGUGACACGAGUUGCUGCUGACCUUAUUUCAGAGUAGUGGCAUAUCUCCAGUUUAAACCGAAUAUUAAUUAGCAGGCAUGGUUUGUUUGCACUCCUGGUCUCCGUCUCAAGGCGCGGUCUCACUAGACUUUAAACAUGCGAAAUUAUUUCGAACGCCACUGCGAAUAUGGGCGGGAGCAAGAUAAACAGUCUCCCCUCAAUUCACAAGAUGGAUUAUUAUGUUUCUAGCACUGUGUCUUUUGCAACGGCGUCGAAAGCGUUUUAUAUUGUAACGUUACUCUGUAUCUCUCUAUAAAUAUAUACACCCUAAGGGGAGGAGGGGGAGAAGAGAGAGAAAAAAAAAAAAAAAAAAAAAAAACCAACAUUCUAAAACGUUGUAAUUCCAAUGUAUCACCUGUUCCCGUCGACACUACAAACCAUGCAGCUUCUUUCUUUUAUAAAUCUGUUAAUGUAAUAUAAAAUAGGACGCUGCGCAACAGCUAAAGUUAUAUAGCGCUUCCUUUUUGAAUUUUUGUACAGCGAGGUCAUGCAGCAAUGUAUCGCUCUUCUACUGGUCCACAUCCUCACGUUAUGUCAAAUUCCCUGGUCAGUUCACCAAACUUGAACUUUGGAACGCAGCGAAAUGCAAAAUUUUUCGCAUAAGCUUGCGUUUCCGGUCCGACGCAUUCGCAUGCGUAUGAAUGGAAGUCAAUGGAGAGAAAAGUGCAGUGUGACCGCCCAUCACUCAUAACUAACUAACGGCUGUUUAAUUGUUUACAUCAAGAUUAGCAAUGUGUGCUAAUAAGCUUAAGUCCCUUAGAUUUAUGCGUAUUUUAAACUUAACCUCCGAUACCUCAACUUAAUAUUAUAAUAAAAAAAAAAAAAAAAAAAUUGGGGCGUGACAGUUAAGGGGUUAAGCUACAAUCAAGGCUUGUUUAUAUUCGCGCAUCUACUGGUGUUGGUUCAUCACUCUUACUCGGCUGUUGCGGCUUUCACUUUACACUUUUAAACUUUCAGACAGCUGUGCCCUCAGCCAACCCGGAUUCUUCAGUCUGCCUCCGUUAGCAGACAUAAUACUAAACGAAGUGCUUACGUCAGCUGGAAAUCACAUUUCUAAGGCGUUGCUCCCUCUACAAUCAAGCCUACACGUUUGCAUGGUCCGCUUCUAAUGUUUUUCCUUCCAAUUUUUGCGUUCCUAUUCUAAUUUCAACCGUUGCUCCCUUCUUGUUUAAAUAAAAAAAAAAAAAAAAAAAAAAAAACGCAAUCUUAAUUUCUCUAUUCGCAGACUCCUUGCCAGCAUCUAAUCCACGCUAAAUUUUAUAAUCAAAUUUUCAAGCCUUUUGGUUAUUCAGUUCUAUUACUACUUGAGGGGGUUAGCUAAAUCUUCCAACAAAUUAAAGACAAAUGUCUGCCUAUUACCCUGCCCAUAUUGCAAAAUGAAUUACUUCCAUCUGCUACGGCCUUCCUUCAAAGUACCUCAAUAUUCUUCUGGAGGCAGUGUUUAUCUGCUUUCUACAGGUUAUGCUUCCAGGGGAAUUCACUUCAAACCAAUCAAUUUGAUCCUGCUCGUGGCAUUUCCUUCAGAUCUAUGAUUCGGACCAAAAAUUCUUCACACUCUCCUCAAGCACUCAAAAACCAAUGUGCAAGGUUCUGGAGUCACCUUAACAAUUCUAAAAUCAAUAAUCCUGUCCCUUCUCUGCAUGGUGAAAUUUCUUAAAAAUCCGACCUAGAAUUUCUAAAACGCACCAGCUCUAUUUUCCUAACGGAGCCCCCUUUCCAAGGCUGUUUAGAACUCACUUAACCACUGUUCUCAAAGCUGCAGUCUCUCUACUGGCCAUUCAUUCAGAAUUGGGGCAGCUACUUCAGCAGCUGAAUGAGGGAUCUCUACAUCAGCUGUUAAGAUCAUGGGCAGAUGGUCUUCCUAAGCAUUUGAAUCAUACAUCAGACCUGAUUCAAAACCAUUAUUGAAGCUCAGCAAGCUCUCCUGUAACUAAUCAGGAACCUUAGGAUUCACAACUGGUGGGUAUACUUCAUCUACUUUUUGGGGGGAAGGCUGGCCCCGUCUGGAGGUCUCAUAAUCCACCUAAUUUUGGGGGUCUGCUGCGCCCCUGCCUUCGUCUUCAGGCAGGAAAUGCAGAUUCGCUACCCUCGGAUUACGAACCAUGGACGGGGCCUUCCGCCAAAGAAAUUUAUAAUUGUGCUCGCUGAGCUGUCAAUAAAUGUAUGCUUCGUACAUUCCUCUAUCUCCCGAGUCUUUCUGGUAGAAAUGGAAGCUUUAGCCUAAGUUCUGCCAGGAAGACUCAAUCACUUCGUCACUAAUUACCUUCAUCAUUAUCCAAUCACGUCUUUAUACUCCUGUAUAAAAGAUCGUACUUACACAUGUUUGAGUUCGCAGAUGCCAACGCGACAACAACCUCCACCCUCCCCACCACCACCAGGAUGGUCCUGUCCUUACCUUCCAGGGGGGGUCUGCUGCGCCCCUGCCUUCGUCUUCAGGCAGGAAAUGCAGAUUCGCUACCCUCGGAUUACGAACCAUGGACGGGGCCUUCCGCCAAAGAAAUUUAUAAUUGUGCUCGCUGAGCUGUCAAUAAAUGUAUGCUUCGUACA